ACGGACGUGGCGGAAUGGCAGACGCGCCAGACUUAGGAUCUGGUGAGGCAACUCGUGUGGGUUCAAGUCCCACCGUCCGUACCA
rnacentral:tRNA from 1 species